AGGACGAACGCUGGCGGUGUGCUUCACACAUGCAAGUCGAACGGAGUAGCAAUACUCAGUGGCGGACGGGUGAGUAACACGUGGGAAUCUGCCUUUAGAUGGGGGAUAGCAGACCGAAAGGUCUAUUAAUACCGCAUAUGCCGAGAGGUGAAAGUAGCAAUACGUCUGAAGAUGAGCCCGCGCCCGAUUAGCUAGUUGGUAAGGUAAAAGCUUACCAAGGCUACGAUCGGUAGCUGGUCUGAGAGGAUGAUCAGCCACAAUGGAACUGAGACACGGUCCAUACUCCUACGGGAGGCAGCAGUGGGGAAUUUUACACAAUGGGCGAAAGCCUGAUGUAGCGACACCGCGUGAGCGAAGAAGCCUUUUGGGUGUAAAGCUCUGUCAGCAGGGACGAAAAAAUGACGGUACCUGCAGAGGAAGCAUCGGCUAACUACGUGCCAGCAGCCGC
rnacentral:rRNA from 1 species